CGUUGCUCGGGAAUUAUUGGGCGUAAAGCGCGUGUAGGCGGUUGUUUAAGUCUGAUGUGAAAGCCCUGGGCUCAACCUGGGAAGUGCAUUGGAAACUGGACAACUUGAGUACGGGAGAGGGUAGUGGAAUUCCGAGUGUAGGGGUGAAAUCCGUAGAUAUUCGGAGGAACACCGGUGGCGAAGGCGGCUACCUGGACCGAUACUGACGCUGAGACGCGAAAGCGUGGGGAGC
rnacentral:rRNA from 1 species